UCAGCCUCUCUCGAUCUCUUUCUCCCUCUCUCCCUCUCUCUCUCCUUUGAAAACUGAUCUUUGGCUCUUAGUGUGAAAGUGAUUUGAAUUUGGCUCGGCGGCGUUCUGCGCCUGCGCCCAGCCUCUGGCAUGCUGGCUCCUUCCAAGCAGCUGUUUUGGGUUUGAAAUUCCAACAUGGCAGAGGCUGCAGUCAGUCUUCCCUUCAAAAACUUGGAAUGAUUUCAAAUCAUAGGCACCUUCACUUAACCCGAGCUCCCAUUCAUCAGCAAACACAUCGGAUCGAUGCUACUCUAACCUAUCGGGUUCUUGCACCACACAUUCAGGUUAAAUGAAUACCUGACGAAAGGGCCCACGUUUCAAGGCUGUGACAUUUGAUAGCUGAGAGGAAAAGUGGCUUUAAUGAAAAGCAACCUUUGGAAUUCCUGCUUGUGAGAAAUCCAAUUCAGCUUUUUGUGCUGCCAGCAAGAAAUGAUCAGUAGCACCAGUGUUUAUGGUAUGUCAGUUUUGGGAUCUACUUCCUUUGCAUCUAAAUAGGAAAGACAAAUGAAAUAGCAUGAUAAAACCAGUGAGCAUUUUGCAUGUAAAACAUAUGCUAGCAAUAAAUAAUUUAUAUUUUUCUAUCUUAAUUUUUUACAAUGUUUUUCUUUUUCUUUUUUUUUUAAUUUUGCUUUCAUUUGUCUAUUUCACCUUUGGAUUACUUAUGUCCACUUGUAUUGAUUUUUGCCGUAAUCUCAAAGUUGCAUGUUACUAGUAAUGCACUAUAAACACUACUAAACUCAAAUGGUAUGUAAAUGAACCAAACUCAGAGACUUGGGGGAGGGGAGAUAGGGAAAGACGGUUACUAAUGAACAAAUAUGUGUGUGUGUGCGUGUGUGUGUUCAUCCAAAGGACUUAAAUAUAAUUUAUUUUCUUUUUGAAACUUGAUGUUAUUGACUUUGUAGAUGAUUUUAUUCCAUGGGAUAAUAGGGUCUGAAUGUGCGUUCUGUAGUGAGUGUGUUGAAGCGGAAUGGUUUGCACGUAAACAAAAAUACAUUUUGAUAAUUUAAUAUCUUUAAUGAGUAAUGAUGAAGAGAAUGCAAUUUUUUCUUGUGUUGUACUUGGCUUCCUGUCAAUGCUUUUUACUUUGAACAUGUGACAGAAUUAAAUAGGCACAAAAUUGACUUCAUUUAAAAUUUCUUUCUCUCUUUUGCUACCAAAAAAAAGUCUGAUAAAAAUGGAGCGAGGGCGACUUUAAUAGCACUCUUUGCAGAGCAGAAUGUAGACUUUCAGAUCUCCAAUUACGACUAAGAGUAGACAACAACAACAAAAGAUAUUAAAGUAUUUUGCAUAACCAAAAGAUAUGUUCAUUUUCCACCUCUGCUGUGGCCACCACUUUUCCCAUCUCUUCACAACGUCUUACCUCCUUUCCAGUCCCACAUUCCCACCUUAAGAAAGAAAAAGAAAUAAGGAUGAGGCAAAGCUUCUAGGGGUCUGGAGUGCGGUCCUGGUCACUGUUCUCACCACGCAAAUGUGAAUGCAAGGAAGGGGGAUUCAAAGAGCAGCGGCACAAGGCAUGCUCUUAGAGUUUGACUCUGUAGGUGACCAUAUAGUUAAACAGACGCGCAGAUCUCCUAUACAAUAGGAACGAUUUGAUUGAAUUUUGCAUUUGGAACUUGUUGACUUUGAAGCGAUCAAUAAAACGACUGUUUAUUUUAGAUGCACAUAAUUUGCCCUGAGAAAUGUUUUAAGGAGAGGAGAGCACAGCUUUUUCUCCCGGAGCUGUUGGAGCGAAUGAGAUUGCCAGAUGGGAGAUUUCCCUCUGUGAUGUUAAAGCUGUAAUAUAUAUUCAGAGCAGAUUGGGCUGCUGCUUGUGAUGAGGAGGAUAUUACAUUUAUAAAUUUUAAAUCGGAGAUUGGACAAUGUGCUGAGAGCUGAAAUUGGAUGGUUUGGCUGUUCACCGUAUUGAUAGUUAAAUGUGAUUUCCGGAUAGUAGUAAUAAUAAUAAUUACAAUAAUAUAUAAAAAACAUGUUGGGGUUAGGCAAUAAUAUAAUCCAUGUCACUUAGCUGCAGAUUCAAAUGUGCAUUUCUCCCGAAUUUCUGCUUACUACUAAAGCGCAGCCAAGUUUAUAUGUGCAUGUGUUUCAAUGACCACUUACAAAUGAUCAUCACUUAGGAUUUAUAUAAUCAGCUGCUAGCAUUCAGAUAAAAACAACAACAACAAAACUUUAUAAUAUAGAGACACUGCAGCAGUUCUAUUACUUUUCUUUCAUUUUUAAUUGAAUUUUAUUUUGUAGCUUGUAUUUGGUUUAGAUACAUGGCCUAAAUCAACCAGAGCUACAAACCUAAAAGACUGGAAAGUGGGAAAGUCCUUAUUCUCUAGCAGCUCUGCUGUUGCAAAUUAAAAGUGUGUUGUGGUCAGGAAAUGAAAGCUACAAUGUCUCUUUUGAACAAGUCGUUUAUCAAGAGAAACAUCUAUCAGGCAGCGACUUGUCACAUUGAUCCUCUAAAAGUUAGGUCUGAGGUGGAAACUGCUUUGAUGUUUUUUGAUCCUAAAUUUAUAAAAACUGAAAAAGCAAGGAAGGAUUGGACCAGUAGAGAUCUUUAAAAAAAAAGGAAGAAAACUAUUUUUAAGAACUUGUAAGAACUAUUUAUUAGUACUGUAGUCUUUGAAUAAAAUAUUUAAGAUGUAGCAGUUAAGAGUGCAGAAGUGAUCCCACUGUGUAAGAACCGAAGAUUACUUCUAAUAGACCUUGUAGAUUCUAGUGUCAUUAAGUAAAGGUUUCCUGUUUGUUCUAUGCCACUAUUUUCGCAUGAUUCUUAAAUUGUCUUGAGAUAUUUUAGAAUAAUAUGAAGGCAUCCAAAAUGCUUUUGAUAAUUCCAGUUUGCAUAUCCCCCCCCCCCAAUUUCUUCCUUCUACUUUUUUUUAAGACCCAUAUGUUAAUUACUCUCUCCGUUAUAUUAAUGACAAGUGUGAUAUAUUUGGGAGGAGAAUAUAUUCUCCUCUUUGUAGCUCACAGUUGAGUGUCCUUACAUCCAUCUUUGUUUGUUUAAUAGAGUGAAGGUUUUGCCACAUAUAAGCCAUAAGGAUUGUUCUUUGUCACUUUAAGUUGAGUACACUUGUCAGAUUAAUCAUGAUAUGUACUUUUAAAGUAUCGAAUAGUUCUCAUGUACUAUUUCAACUUUUGUUUUUCAAAUUGCUCCUAAGAAACUUGUUAUGAAAACAUUUUGUUGACGUGUUUAAAGGUUCCUGUUCUGAUUUUUAGUUAAGAUAUUAGGGAAACCUUGGUAGAAUUAGCUUUUGGUCAUUUUCUCCUUGAAAUAAAUGACACUGGACUUUACACUGCUGAUAGGUACUUAUUAUUGCAUGUAGAUCUCUCUGCAACCAAGCAAAAAAGAACGUGGUAGGAGUUUUGGUGGAUGACUGUUUGCUAAUUAAUCAUGUCUAAAAUGAAAGAACCAUAGCAUAGUAAUAAAGCCUUAUUGUUAUUUUUUUCUGAAAGAAUAAAGCUUCUAUAUAUAAGUGGUAUUUGUAUGAGUUAACUUUCCAAUCUUCCCUUCUCAUGGAAUAUAGGGUCUCAUUUGGAUUAUUACUGUAUCUUUUUUGAAAAUAGAGUAUGCUUUUAAUCUUCUUUUACUACCCCAACAUCUUUAAUCUCAUACAUGAUACCUCUAUGUAUGUAUGUUCAAUUUUUACCUUUAGUAAUGUUUAAGUCUAGUAUACAGGACUCAAAUUUUAAGUAUGUUCAGAAACUUUCCCUUCAUAUAGUAAUUUCCCUUUUUACAUAAGUAGAAAAUUAGAUUUUUGUUCAUGUUUUAAAAUAAACAGGCAUUUAAGGAAUAUUUCUAUAAGCAGACACUCAUUUUAUGCCCUUUGUAGAGACCAUCAAUAGCUUAUUUUUAACUUAUAUAACUGCUUAAUGAACUGGAAAAAAAAAAGGGAAAUGAA